rnacentral:rRNA from 1 species
GAUGAACGCUAGCUACAGGCUUAACACAUGCAAGUCGAGGGGCAGCAUAUCGAAAGCUUGCUUUUGAUGAUGGCGACCGGCGCACGGGUGAGUAACGCGUAUCCAACCUUCCCUAUACUAGAGGAUAGCCCGGCGAAAGUCGGAUUAAUACUCUAUGUUCUUCGUAGAAGACAUCUGAAAUGAAGCAAAGGUUUACCGGUAUAGGAUGGGGAUGCGUCUGAUUAGGUUGUUGGCGGGGUAACGGCCCACCAAGCCCACGAUCAGUAGGGGUUCUGAGAGGAAGGUCCCCCACAUUGGAACUGAGACACGGUCCAAACUCC